GACGAACGCUGGCGGCGUGCCUAAUACAUGCAAGUAGGACGCAGUUGCGAACGGGUGAGUAACGCGUAGGUAACUACCUAUUAGAGGGGGAUAACUAUUGGAAACGAUAGCUAAUACCGCAUACUAGUAGAUGGACCUGCGUUGUAUUAGCUAGUAGGUAGGGUAAAGGCCUACCUAGGCCACGAUACAUAGACGACCUGGGAGGGGGAUCGGCCACACUGGGCCUGGGACCCCGCCCAGACUCCUACGGGAGGCAACAGGAGGGAAUCUUCGGCAAUGGGGGGAACCCUGACCGAGCAACGCCGCGUGAGUGAAGAAGGUUUUCGGAUCGUAAAGCUUUGUUUUUGAGGAAGCGGUACUUAACCAGAAAGGGACGGCUAACUACGUGCCAGCAGCCGCGGUAAUUC
rnacentral:rRNA from 1 species